UACGUAGGGUGCAAGGCGUUGUCCGGAAUUACUGGGCGUAAAGAGCGCGCAGGCGGUCGUUCAAGUCGCGUGUGAAAGCCCCCGGCUCAACUGGGGAGGGUCACGCGAUACUGAUCGACUCGAAGGCAGGAGAGGGAAGUGGAAUUCCCGGUGUAGUGGUGAAAUGCGUAGAUAUCGGGAGGAACACCAGUGGCGAAGGCGGGUCUCUGGGCAGUAACUGACGCUGAGGAGCGAAAGCGUGGGGAGCGAACAGG
rnacentral:rRNA from 1 species